AUGAGUAUCUUACGCUGGAACCGUCGAGGCUUGGGGUCGGACUCGACAGUUGGCGAGCUUCGCUGGCUUGUGAAGCUUUAUCGCCCCACCCUCCUCUUUUUGUCAGAGACGAAGAUGAGGGAUUCCGGCGCUAAAAAAAUUCUAUGGUCAUUAGGUUUUUCCAGUGGCCAUGGUGUGAGUAGUAAUGGCCUAAGUGGUGGCCUAGUUCUGUUCUGGUCAGUGUCAGUAAGUGUCUCUUUGAAAGCUUUCAAUAGCCGCUGCAUUGAUGUUCAUGUCAAGCCCGAGGAGGGGGUAUCUUGGCGAGAAACGUUCAUUUAUGAAGAACCAAGGAGAGAGGACAAAGCUCAGUUCUGGAACUUUCUGUUGGAAAUAUGCCCUAGAGGCAAUAAUAAAAUGGUUAUUAUUGCAUUUCCUUGUUCAUGA
rnacentral:rRNA from 1 species